rnacentral:rRNA from 1 species
CAGCAGUGGGGAAUCUUGCACAAUGGGGGCAACCCUGAUGCAGCGACGCCGCGUGAGCGAUGAAGCCCUUCGGGGUGUAAAGCUCUUUCGGCCCGAACGAUAAUGACGGUACGGGAAGAAGAAGCUGCGGCUAACUACGUGCCAGCAGCCGCGGUAAUACGUAGGCAGCGAGCGUUGUUCGGAGUUACUGGGCGUAAAGCGUGCGUAGGAGGUGCCAUAAGUCUGUUGUGAAAUCUCCCGGCUCAACUGGGAGGGUGCGGUGGAAACUGUGGUGCUGGAGUGUGGGAGAGGUAGGCGGAAUUCCUGGUGUAGCGGUGAAAUGCGUAGAUAUCAGGAGGAACACCAGCGGUGUAGACGGCUUACUGGACCACUACUGACGCUGAGGCACGAAAGCGUGGGGAGCAAACAGGAUUAGA